UACGAAGGGGGCUAGCGUUGCUCGGAAUCACUGGGCGUAAAGCGCGUGUAGGCGGCUUUGCAAGUCGGGUGUGAAAGCCCUCAGCUCAACUGAGGAAGUGCGCCCGAAACUGCAGAGCUUGAGUGCCGGAGAGGGUGGCGGAAUUCCCCAAGUAGAGGUGAAAUUCGUAGAUAUGGGGAGGAACACCGGUGGCGAAGGCGGCCACCUGGACGGCAACUGACGCUGAGACGCGAAAGCGUGGGGAGCAAACAGG
rnacentral:rRNA from 1 species